GCUUGGCUGGCUCAGUCAGUAGAGAAUGAGACUCUUGAUCUCAGGGUUGGGAGUUCAAGCCCCACACUGAGCA
rnacentral:tRNA from 1 species